rnacentral:rRNA from 1 species
AGUGAACGCUGGCGGCGUGCUUAACACAUGCAAGUCGAACGAGAACGGACUUAAGCUUGCUUAAGUUGUCAGCUAAGUGGCGCACGGGUGAGUAAUGGUAUAGUUAACCUGCCCUCGUACGAGAGGAAUAACGAGUUGGAAACGGACUGCUAAUGCCUUAUAUGCCUUUAAGACAGAAGUCUGCAAGGGAAUGCUUAGUGCUAGAGGAUGGGACUGUAUGGUAU